rnacentral:rRNA from 1 species
UACGUAGGAGACGAGCGUUGUCCGGAGUUACUGGGCGUAAAGGGUGCGCAGGCGGCCUGGCGCGUCGCGAGUGAAAUCUCCUGGCUCAACUGGGAGGGUGGUCGCGAGACGGCUGGGCUUGAGGCUCGGUGAGGGGCGUGGAAUUCCGGGUGGAGCGGUGAAAAUGCGUAGAGAUCCGGAGGAACACCGACGGCGUAGGCAGCGCCCUAGACGAGACCUGACGCUCAGGCACGAAAGCGCGGGGGAGCGAACAGG